UGGCUCAGAACGAACGCUGGCGGCAGGCUUAACACAUGCAAGUCGAGCGGGCCCUUCGGGGUCAGCGGCAGACGGGUGAGUAACGCGUGGGAAUCUACCCAUCUCUACGGAAUAACUCAGGGAAACUUGUGCUAAUACCGUAUACGCCCUUUUGGGGAAAGAUUUAUCGGAGAUGGAUGAGCCCGCGUUGGAUUAGCUAGUUGGUGAGGUAAUGGCUCACCAAGGCGACGAUCCAUAGCUGGUCUGAGAGGAUGAUCAGCCACACUGGGACUGAGACACGGCCCAGACUCCUACGGGAGGCAGCAGUGGGGAAUAUUGGACAAUGGGCGCAAGCCUGAUCCAAGCCAUGCCGCGUGAGUGAUGAAGGCCUUAGGGUUGUAAAGCUCUUUCACCGGUGAAGAUAAUGACGGUAGCCGGAGAAGAAGCCCCGGCUAACUUCGUGCCAGCCGCAGC
rnacentral:rRNA from 1 species